rnacentral:rRNA from 1 species
CAAUAGCGUAUAUUUAAGUUGCUGCAGUUAGAAAGCUCGUAGUUGGAUUUCGGGUGGGAAUGGCCGGUCCGCCGUUUCGGUGUGCACUUGCUACGCCCACCUUGCUGCCGGGGACGUGCUCUUGAGUUCACGCUCGGGACACGGAGUCGGCGAGGUUACUUUGAGUAAAUUAGAGUGUUCAAAGCAGGCCUACGCUCUGAAUACAUUAGCAUGGAAUAACACGAUAGGACUCUGGCCUAUCUUGUUGGUCUGUAGGACCGGAGUAAUGAUUAAGAGGGACAGUCGGGGGCAUUCGUAUUUCAUUGUCAGAGGUGAAAUUCUUGGAUUUAUGAAAGACGAACUACUGCGAAAGCAUUUGCCAAGGAUGUUUUCAUUAA